GCCUUAUUUGCAUUGCUAUGCAAAGAUGCAUCCCACCCAAAAAUCAAGCCAGCAGACAUUAUAAAGGCCUCAGGAGGUUGUCUCGUUUCCAGAGGGACCCCACUAGCUCCUCUGGUGGGACAUGAAAAUGUUUAUUUUUCCAGUGCUGGCUGUAACAGAGCAGGAUCCAUCCAAAGAGUAACCAAAUGCUUGCUGUGGAAGCAGCUGUGUCCCAUCCCUGGAAGUUACCCAUUAAUUAUUCUCCUACAUCCGUGAAAACAUUUUGGAGCCUUUUGGUACACAAAAAAACCCAGAAACUUCAAGGAAUGAGGAUGUAGUCCAGGAAUGCAGAGAAGAUUUUUAUUCAAAUUCUCCUUCACAAAGUCUGUCACCAGGUUACAGUAGCUCAGUUCUAGACCAUGCAGAACAGAAAUUAGCACCAGGAACUAAAGAGGAUAUUCUGGAAGCAAGGAAAUCGAUGCUCCUCUGGCAAUCCAAGGCAUAUGCCCUAGGUGUGGGAUUUAAAAAAAUUAUUCUGACUGAAUUUUGGCUCUUUUUAUGCAUCCGUUUUGUAUCUUUAUAGCAAAUCUCAAAUAAAGAGAAGUCCAGUCAAUCA
rnacentral:lncRNA from 1 species